UUUCUUUCCUUCUUUCUCUAUCAUUUUUCAUUCUUCUUCUCCCUGUUUCUCUUCUCUUUUCUUCUUCUGUUCUUCGCCUCUGGCGAUUCUGCGAGAUUUUUGAGGCUGUGAUAUCGAAGAUAAACUUAGGGGAAAUCUUAAGAACUGACUAUUGGUGAUGGUGAUGAUGUUUGUUAUUGAUUUAGUCUCAAAGAAGGAAUUAAAUUAAGAAGUUAGGGUUUCUGUAUUCACCGAAAAUAUGAUUGGAGUUGAUUAAGAAGAAAUUACAGGAUGGGUGUUGUAGAACGUGAUGAAAAGAAGAUUGUUAUAGUUUAAAUUUGGGGAUUUGGUUAAAGGGAAGAGGAUUUAUUAUGAAAGAUGAAUUGAAUUAGGGUUCUUGAGUUGAUUGAGGGAUUGUGUGAAAUUGAAGAUGAAAUUGAAGAUGAAAUUGAAGGUCCAGAAGUCUAAUUGAAGAUGGGUUUGUUCUUAUUUGAUGUUUGAUUGAAGUUGUUGGACUAUUUGAGGAUUAUUUAGGGUUUCUUUGUAAAUCAGUGGUGGUGGUAGAUUGAAAUGAUCUGCUGAACCGAGUCAGGAGCAAAGAAGGAUUCGAUUCAAUUGUGGAGUGAAACCUAUCAUGAGGUAAAUGAUUUCUCAGUAAAUUAGUAAAGUUAUUAUGUUUUGUUUGGGUUGAAAUGUUUGGAGUUAGAACUGUAAUUGUUGGUGUUCUAAUGGUGAAUAAUCUGAACUGAAGUUGAUAUGGGUAUGGAUUUGGAGGUAAACUGGUGGUAUUAAUGUAUGAAAUGUGAAUAGGAAGUUAAAUCUGAAUUGAGAAUUGGUUGAGUUGUAGUGGCUGAGUUAUGGAAAUUACAGGGUUGAGUUAAAAAAGGGUGUUGGUGAUAUGAAUUUUGGAUUGUAAUGAAGAGGUUAAUGGUUGUUGUGUAUAUUGGUGGGUUAAAUGAGUUGUGAUGCAAGCUGAGAUGGUAUUGAAUCAUGAAAUACUGUAGCAGGUGGUUGUAAUUGAGUGCAUUGGUGGUUGUCUAGUGAAUUGUAUCUGGGUCUUCUCAGACUUGCAGGGGUGUUAGAUGAAUGAAUUAGGAAUUGGAGAAUGUUGAGUGGAUAUAACAUCCAUGAAGUGAACUGCGUCAGAAGAAUUAAAUGUAAAGUAAGAGGUGUUGUUGCUGUUAAGAUGGAGAUACAGUUGAUGGUUCUGUACGAUGAAUGGUAUUACGGGUUAUAGGAUUUGGAUUUUGUGUAUGCUAGCUGAACAGAUUUAGAAUGGGUGAGAGAUUGUAGUUAUUGCAGAUGUAACUUGUGGGUGUAAUGAGAUUGUUUGACGUUCCAGUUUAGAGUCUGAGUGGAAGGUGUUAACUGAUGCAGUUAGAAUUGAGGAUUGAAGUUUAGAGAAAUAUGUUAAGUCGAAUCUUUGUAGUGAAAGCUUGGAACUGCAUUUGCAGGAUGAACCAGUGGAUCGUGGAUCUGGAGGUAGGCGUGGGUUGUCAUCAAAAGAGGUGCGGCACGAGUCACCAUAUAGCUAUCUAGGUGCGGAACGAUCGGAAGAGUCACCAUAAUAUAUAUUGUUUGGAAGGAGUUUGUCCAUAUACGUGUUUGUGCAUUUCCAGUGACUUAGUCACUUUGAUGUUUGGGAAAACAUGUAUUUUUUUCUAAAUCUUGCCCAUGAUUUCUUUAAAGUUAAAUGUUAUUCCUGCUGGGCACCCCUUUUAGGGAUGAUGUGCUCACCCAUUCCCACUUUUAGUUCCAGAGACUGAUCAGAAUUGCGCAGCGAAAGCUUCGAGGAGUUGAUUUCAUUAGUUGGUUAACUUCGUCUAUGUUUAUUAUGUUGUAUAUUAUAUUUGUUAACCGAAUGACUAUUGUAUAUAUGUA